rnacentral:rRNA from 1 species
CUCCUAACCCAAUGUGAACGUUACCAAACUGUUGCCUCGGCGGGGUCACGCCCCGGGUGCGUCGCAGCCCCGGAACCAGGCGCCCGCCGGAGGAACCAACCAAACUCUUUCUGUAGUCCCCUCGCGGACGUAUUUCUUUACAGCUCUGAGCAAAAAUUCAAAAUGAAUCAAAACUUUCAACAACGGAUCUCUUGGUUCUGGCAUCGAUGAAGAACGCAGCGAAAUGCGAUAAGUAAUGUGAAUUGCAGAAUUCAGUGAAUCAUCGAAUCUUUGAACGCACAUUGCGCCCGCCAGUAUUCUGGCGGGCAUGCCUGUCCGAGCGUCAUUUCAACCCUCGAACCCCUCCGGGGGAUCGGCGUUGGGGAUCGGGACCCCUCACACGGGUGCCGGCCCCUAAAUACAGUGGCGGUCUCGCCGCAGCCUCUCCUGCGCAGUAGUUUGCACAACUCGCACCGGGAGCGCGGCGCGUCCACGUCCGUAAAACACCCAACUUUCUGAAAUGUUGACCUCGGAUCAGGUAGGAAUACCCGCUGAACUUAAGCAUAUCAAUAAGCCSGGARGAA